rnacentral:rRNA from 1 species
UACGUAGGGUGCGAGCGUUAAUCGGAAUUACUGGGCGUAAAGCGUGCGCAGGCGGCGCGUUAAGACAGGUGUGAAAGCCCCGAGCUUAACUUGGGAAUUGCGCUUGUGACUGGCGUGCUGGAGUGUGGCAGAGGGAGGUGGAAUUCCACGUGUAGCAGUGGAAUGCGUAGAGAUGUGGAGGAACACCGAUGGCGAAGGCAGCCUCCUGGGCCAGCACUGACGCUCAUGCACGAAAGCGUGGGGAGCAAACAGG